rnacentral:misc_RNA from 1 species
GUUUCUCAUUGUUUCUCAAUUAAGAGAGAUUUAUUAAGUCAGAUUAAACAAAACAUGUGGUAUUUCAUCUAGGCUGACGAGCCGCGGACAGAUCACUCCAAAUAGAGCUUUCAGCCAUCAGAGCCCCUCCUAGCAGAGGUUAAAAGAGAGAGCUAGUUAAAGCCCCAACUUCAGUGAUGAAACGAACCGCGACCGCCAAUAGACAUUUCAAUGGUUCACAAGGGUGUUGAUUUGAUCCUGCGCCGCAAAUAUGCAUGCACUUCUGCAGCGCAGUCACAAAAGAUUGUUAAUGAUCCAACCGCAGGUUCACCUACGGUUA